rnacentral:rRNA from 1 species
UACGGGGGAUGCAAGCGUUAUCCGGAAUCAUUGGGCGUAAAGCGCCUGUAGGUGGUUUAAUAAGUCUGUUGUUAAAGCCUAGGGCUUAACCCUAGAAAAGCAAUGGAAACUAUUAGACUAGAGUAUGGCAGGGGUAGAGGGAAUUUCUAGUGUAGCGGUGAAAUGCGUAGAUAUUAGAAAGAACACCGGUGGCGAAAGCGCUCUACUGGACCAUUACUGACACUCAGAGGCGAAAGCUAGGGUAGCAAAAGGGAUUAGAUACCCCUGUAGUCCUAGCCGUAAACGAUGGAUACUAGAUGUUGCGCAUAAUGUGCAGUAUCGUAGCUAACGCGUUAAGUAUUCCGCCUGGGGAGUACGCUCGCAAGGGUG